rnacentral:rRNA from 1 species
AUGUAAAUGCCUACAAGAUAAUGCUAAUGCACCAGAUCCCAUUAUAACUCCACAGUUAAGCAUGCUCAGGCUAGAGUAGUACUGGAAUGGGUGACCGCCCAUAAAGUCUUAGUAUUUUACAUU